AUGAAGUUUCCUCAGAGUAGGGCUGGGCACGGUUUUUACUUGAGAGACCCAAAAGGCGUGGACGAUCGCAAAGUGGCGUCGCGAUGGUUCAGCUUGGAAAAUCCAGACGGCGACGAGAAGAGGAUGUACAGAGGCAGAAUGCACUUGCGCCUUUGCUUUGACGGCGGAUAUCACGUGAUGGACGAGGCGGCGCACGUGUGCAGCGACUACAGCCCAACUGCGAGGCAGCUCUGGAAGCCACCGCUAGGCACGGUGGAGCUCGGAGUAAUCGGAUGCAAGAACUUGAUACCGGUCAAGACGGUCAACGGUAAAGGAUGCUCGGACGCCUACUGCGUGGCCAAGUAUGGACCAAAAUGGGUACGCACGCGUACCGUAUGUGAUAGUUUGGAGCCCAAGUGGAACGAGCAGUACACGUUUAAAGUCUACGAUCCGUGUACGGUGCUGAGCAUCGGCGUUUUUGACAAUUCCGGAUCGGGUUUCGAAAUCGAGGGCUCGAAAGACGCCACGCGUCCUGACUUCCGCAUCAUCAAUGUCGUUGCGGGGUUUUGCAGAGAUCCAAGAUGGGGUCGCUGUUAUGAAAGCUACAGUGAAGAUCCUAAGAUAGUUCAAGCAAUGACUGAGAUCAUUCCCGGCUUACAAGGGGAGAUACCAGCUAACUGUAGAAAGGGUGUUCCCUUCGUAGCAGGAAAUAAAAAGGUUGCAGCUUGUGCAAAGCAUUUUGUGGGUGACGGUGGAACAACCAAAGGCAUCAAUGAGAAUAACACUGUGAUUAACAGACACGGCUUGCUCAGCAUUCACAUGCCAGGCUACUAUAACUCAAUUAUCAAGGGUGUGGCAACCAUUAUGGUAUCCUACUCAAGCUGGAAUGGAGUAAAGAUGCAUGCUAAUCAUGAUCUUGUCACUGCCUUCCUUAAGAAUACGCUACGUUUCAGGGGUUUUGUCAUUUCAGAUUGGGAGGGUAUUGAUAGGAUCACCUCUCCACCUCAUGCCAACUACUCUUAUUCAAUUCAGGCAGGAAUCAAUGCUGGCAUUGACAUGGUCAUGGUUCCAUACAACUAUAUGGAAUUCAUUGACGGUUUAACCUUCCUGGUGAAAAAUAAGAUCAUUCCCAUGAGCAGAAUUGAUGAUGCAGUAAAGAGAAUUUUGCGAGUUAAGUUUGUCAUGGGCUUAUUUGAGGAACCAUUCGCUGAUAUGAGCCUGGUCCACCAGCUUGGCAGUCAGGAACAUAGAGAACUGGCUAGGGAAGUUGUGAGGAGAUCGCUGGUGCUGCUAAAGAAUGGUGAAUCUGCUGAAAAGCCAUUGAUACCCCUUCCCAAGAAGACAUCAAAAAUACUUGUAGCUGGCAGUCAUGCAGAUAAUCUUGGCUAUCAGUGUGGUGGGUGGACUAUUGAGUGGCAGGGAUUAAGUGGCAACAAUCUCACAGAAGGUACCACAAUUCUUACUGCCAUAAAGAACACAGUUAGUCUACAAAGAGAAUCCUGACGCUGACUUUGUGAAGUCAAAUAAUAUCUCGUAUGCCAUUGUUGUAGUCGGAGAACAUCCAUAUGCCGAGACAUUUGGUGACAGCUUAAAUUUGACAAUCCCCGACCCUGGCCCGACCACCAUCACUAAUGUUUGCGGCGCUGUGAAAUGUGUUGUUAUUGUCAUCUCCGGCCGUCCUGUUGUGGUCCAACCCUAUGUUGCUUCGAUUAAUGCCCUUGUCGCAGCUUGGCUUCCAGGAACUGAAGGCCAAGGAGUAGCUGAUGUUUUAUUUGGUGACUAUGGUUUCACUGGAAAGCUUUCUCGCACGUGGUUCAAAACAGUCGAUCAGCUACCUAUGAAUGUUGGAGAUGCACGUUAUGACCCUCUCUUCCCAUUUGGAUUUGGCCUCACUACAACCCCCACCCAUUUCAACUAGGUAUUCAUGUAGUACUCUUCAAAAUGGAUGGUUAUUUAUCUGAAUAAUAAAAUUAUUAAUUAGAGGCUUAUUCAUUUAUGAGCCUUUAAUUUAAAUUCGUAAGUAAAGUUUCUCAAUGACUCCAAUAGGUAUAUUUUUCAGACAUGCAUUCUAGUGAA